ensembl:lncRNA
GUUCUCUCCUGCCUGCAAAUAUGGCAUCAGGAAACAUAAACACCUACAAGAUAAAAGCAAAACCUAAUCCUAGAAAAACAAGCCUGACUAUUUACUCACCCAGAUCUAACUCUGGACUAGACCCAUGCAACUCACACCAGAGCCUACCAGCAGCUACUGCUGGUCAUGCUGCUAUGAGAACUGCCUUCACAGAGAGCCUAAAAAUCAGGCAGGAAAUCAGAUACAAAGAAGAACAUGGGGUAACAAGACAGUGACACUUUCCUGUAAGAAGACCAUAAAUCUUUAUACAAGGGGGCGGACUGGAGAACGUCAGGGGUUUCCAUGUGUGAGUGUUUAAAAUAAAACCUUAUUCAUGCUGGAGUGGGGAAGAAAAGAACUGGCAAGCUGGGAACACAAAAAGAAAAAAGGAGGAACCUUAAAAUAUGAGGUUUGACUGGGUCUUGAGCUCUGAAGUCACUUACAGCCAUUCAUGCAAUUAUGGUGGCUUGGAGGAAACAGAUGAUUUGACAUGGAGUAGAUUUGCAGCCAGGACCCCAUUGCAAGCAGGACCUGAGUUCUUUGGAAGAGUCAUGAGCUGGGGGUGAUUGCCCUGUGAAGAGAGUAAAGAGUUCCCCAGCAAUCUGCAUUCAACCUUUGAAGUACUUUGGAAGCUGUGUAUAGAAGAUACCAGGGCAAUUUUGUGAACUGGAAAUGUAAAUUAGCAGAGCCGAACCUUCCUUAUUAAUGCUUCAAAAGACAUCAAAUCCCCUAACAAAGGACAGUCAGUACAGAGCAGGGCUCUCUCAUUGAUCGACUUGUCAUUUUUCUAUCUCAGCAUCACACAGGAGUGGGGAAUACAGGUGCUUUCGGGAGAAAUCCCCCAGCUCACAAAUCUGCCUUCUGUCCAGAAAGUAGGUCUCACUGGUGCAUAAUAAACGUGACAGCCUGGUAAAUAUUGAGGUGAGAGAGCACAGAUCCAUUCUGGUUCAGCACACUUGUGCAGCUACCAAAGACGGCACCAGGUUUCUAUGUGAGAUUACAACCCCAUAAUUCCAACAGAAUCACAUCAAACCCUCUCAAGGGGACAAAAAGUUUGCACAACUACAAGUUCAGUUGGACCAAGCUCAAUGGAGGGACUGGGUGACAUGACCCCCCCAAAGCUGGCUGGCAGUUCCCUGGCUCUGAAGCAAAUGAGAUGAUGCUGCAGACUGCUUUCCUAGCUACUUAAAGAUAAAAAGUACUUUAGAAUAGAGAAUAAUCCUCCAAAUCCUUAACUGAGUUACGAUUCUAGAGAAAGGAACAGAUCGUAUUUAUGAGAUGAAGAAUUACCUUGUCGUGUUCACAUCUUUUAAACCUCUGGUAUGAAAUAUUCACUCUUCUGAAGCCAAUCAAUGUUUCACUGCCAAAGGAAGUGGGUGCAGGCUUUCAGGCACAGAAUAUCAAUGGCAAGUUAUGUGGUUGUACAAGUGAGAGCCAAAGAUCCUUUACUUUCUCUUGAGUUCAAAAGAGAAUAUGCAUCUAGUAUUGGAUUUUAGUAAAAGUGAGCAUCUUGUAGAAGGUGAAUUUUACCUUAACUGAAGAAGGGAAGAAGCAGGAUUACAACUUUCAAAAUCUUCAGGAAGUGAAACGUGUUCAGUAUAUGCUGCUCUAAGGUUGUUAUUACUACUUCCUACAUUCAGGAAACCAUCAAGUUUACAAUAGGAGCAAAUUCUCGGAUUGUCAGUUUAAAUUUUAAGUUUGAGGUUGCUAUUCAAUUUCAGGGUACCACUAUCUCAAGCCAGAGAUCUAAGCAUCAGAGAGCAAAAUCAAAUGGAGUCAGAGUAGAUUUAGCAGAACACUACAUUAUGGACUAAGGAGUCAAACAUAUGCAAACCUUCCGUCCUUACUAAGAAACAGCCUCACACCAUCCACCUGGGGGACUGUCUUCAAGACCUAUCCUCUCCGCUGCCAGGGUGGGAGAAGCUGUGCCAAUGGUGCAAGAAGAACCAAACACUGGACCACAGGCUGGAUGUAUUCCUUUCGUCUUGAACAUGGUACCAAGCAGACAUGCUGUCAGCUAGCAGUGUUGGAAGUCUUUGUUAGAGAAAGAGAGGGCACUCUCUGUAUUGUACAUGUUUAGGAACAGUGGUGUUACACAUUAACUAUCAGAAUGAAAUUUGCUUACACUAUUGUGAAAAAGGGUCUGCCUACAGUGGUCUCCAAUUUUAGAUUUGAUUUUCAGUCCACAUUCCUGACUUCAGUCCUCAUCAGUCAGUUUUGCCCCAGACUCUUGCAUUAUGAAGACUAAUUUACAUAUCCAAAUAAAUAGCUCUCAAAGGAGAAAUUCAGGCUGACAUAAUGUAACUCAUCCUCAUCCUUUUAGAGCUAUUUUUGCAUAAAAAAAAGAUUAGCAAACAAAACCAAGGAGGUAAAGAAAGAAAUGUCAUGGAACCUCUGGGAUUUUUGAGAGACUACUCAACUAUCCUGUACAAUCAUGAAGAUGGGGUUGUGGGGAGGGAGAUUUCCCAGUUGACACGUUUCUCCACUUGUGAACAUGUUGAAAGAUCACUCAUAUGUUUUCAAUGAAGUCACUGACAGUCAAGAAUGCUGGAGGCAACAGCUGUUGGGGAUUGAUUUACCCCAAGGCUAUUUAAUCUCUCAGCCUCUCAUAAGGAUGCUUGCUAGGGGGAAGGUAAAGAAGCACAACUAAAAAUUGUAUUGCUUUCAGCAGCUGUUGUUAUUCCUGAAAGCCAAGAAAGGGUCAAAAAUAUGUGAUGAAAGUCUUGGAUUGUUAUCAGCUAUAGGGGUGGCCAAAGCUUACUGCUUCCUUUGGGAGUAAAGUUUCCUUUGUGGAAUGAAAUACAGUAAAAUUACUAACUCCCUUAGGCUUAGUUGCCUGGGAGUUACCAUGAAGUGUAUAUGUGCCUUGGAAUUUCCAGAAUUAUAAGUAUAUUAUGUCAGUAGGAAUGAUACAGGUUGUGAAAGGCAGCCGUUGUGUUCAGUAACAGGAGCUGAGACAAUCGGGUAGCAAGAAAAGAUAACAUAAAACAUUCAUUAAAAUGGUGGAAAAAAAAUGACUGAAAAGCAGAGUGCAGCUGCUGUUAUGUGUCAGUUACUAUUUCAGAAUGGUCUCCUUCUGUGAAACACUGGACUUUUAUGAAAUCAUAUUGUCCAACCAUGCAUCAGACCCCUGAAGUGUAAGGUAUUUGCCUACCUCGCUGAAAAUAAGAUACAUCCCAGCAGAGAUUCUUUUUGUAACCAUGCAUUUUUCACUCUUGGCUAGCAGAACUUUUCAGAGAGAAUUAGCAUGGAUUGCAUUUUCACUUGGGAAGGAAGCAAAAGUUGCAGUUCUGUUUCACCUAGGAUUUCAUGGCUGUGAAUAUGGGUGAUGCCUCGUGGCUUUAAGAGUGUGUAAUCAGCCACAGAACUUUUGUCUUUUCCCUAAAGCAAUCCAAGAUUUUUGUGACCAUGCCCCAUCCUGAACAUUAGCAGUGUACAGCCUUACAUCUCUCUCAUCCCUCCCAAAUUCAUGGAGUGGCUCACUCAGGAUGUGUCUACCAGGGCUUUCCUUUGGUUCAAUAAUACACUUCUGAAGCAAAUCUCUCAUUAUCCCCACUUACUGUGCUUUGUAUCCCAUCAUGGAUCUGUUUUGGGAAGCCAGAUUUGUUCCAGAUGAAAUGAAAGUGGAAAGUGCUCUCCAGGAGCAUACCUCAUGUAUUGCAUCACAAAGGGCUCCAUGAAAAACUCCAGGCAAUGAGAGAAUGGGCCUGAAAGUCACAGCUAUCCUGGAAAUGGCUAUGUUCAGAGGAGGAUGAGUAUUCUUCAGGGCAGUGCUGUCUCCUUACACUAGCUGAGUUCUCAAGAGCAACACACAAGUCUGCAAUGACCAAAAAAAAAUAAAAAUAAAAAAAUUGAACACAGCAAACUUUGCUGAAUGUGGACCUAAAAACUCUUUAAAUAUUCUUUAGAUGCUGAAAAAAAAAAAGGCAAAGCUAAAGAAAAGAUAAUGCUGAAAAAUAAGUAGCGUGUUUGUUCAUAAAAAGUAUCUUUACACAAUUAACGGAAUCACAGUAUCAAAGAAUUGUAAAGGCUGGAAAAGGGACCUCUGGUGACGAUCAAGUCCAGGUCUCAUCACAGCACCUUGGGAUUAUUGCUUAGUCCUGAGGAUGCCCAGAACUUGGUGCAUAGCUAAAGUUCAUCCAACAAAUUAAAAACCUUUGGCUCUGAGAAAAAUGGAAAAGAGAAAUUUUGGGCAAGUGCUUUGGGACUACAAGGAAAGAAUAAUCAAAUUACUGAAAAUCCCUGUCCCACAAGUACUUACAAAAACAGAAUAGUAAUUUUUCUUGUGACUUUUCAGCACUUCUCCCUCUGGGAUAAAGUGAACAUGGGAAAGAGGAAAAAUGUAGAAAUUAAGACAAAUUAAUUAUGAACUGUGUCUGACAGAAUUCAAUAACUGUUUUUCUGCUGACUAUACCAAAGUUUGGAUUGGGCAGUUUUGGUCUUCAGAACAUUCGAUAUCUACACAGUAGUCUGACUAGACAGAUUCCCAAUUCCUGUUUUUAUACACCUGCCAAGCUGACAGGCAUUCUAUGAUGGAAUAUGCAAGUCUUGUAACACAAUGCACUUACCCAACAAAAAGUGUCAUGAAAAGAUUAUUUGAUUUUCUAACAGCAGUCUUAAACCACAAAAUAAACCAAACCAAAACAAAGCUCAAAGCUUAUGAAUUAUUCCUUAAAAAUCAAAACAUAUUAAAAAAACACAACCACCUUCCUCCCACCAAGAGACAAGGUAACGGUGGAAAAGCAGAAUAAUGAAAGCAUUUGAUACUUACACGUCUUUCACCCUAUGGCACUCUAACACUGUAUGCUUGUACUCACCAAGCUGAAGUGUAACCACACCUGGGCCAUGGAUACUCCUUCUCCUCGGAGGAACACCUGUACAAUUAUCUGUGUUCUUCUUGGUAGUAGCAUCAGGUACAAAAGGGGCCUUGCAAGGACCUGACUGAAGUUCCCACUAAUCUCACCAGCUGUACACCCCAGCUUUUUCAUAGGGACAAUCCCCAAUCACUGAAGGAAAAGGGAUUUGUUCAACUCAAGCUUCAAUGCUUAUAGAAGCAUUCAACAAAAAUCCAUCCAUGCAGGUCUUUAAGAUCUUCUUUCUCCUGUAAAUUUGAUUCUCUUUCAAUAUUUUGACUUCCAGGCAUCUUGAGAGGCCCUAGUGCAGGCUCCCUUCCCAUCUUGUAAAAAAAAGGGAAGAGAUUAUGCUAUUUUCAGCCACCAGAUAAAUAAACUUCUACAGUUUACUUGAAGUGUAUUAUUUUUUAAACCCAAAAUUGUCAUUUCUGCUUAUUUAGGAAAGUGUCCUUAGUUCUUCUGCAGAUCUCCUAGGCUAUGACACUGUGUAUUCAAGGACAAACCUUGCUACAGGAAACCUUUUAAAUCAACAAAUAAAGUGCCAGUGCAGGCACUGAAGCUAUGGAGAUGCUGUCAUAGAAUCAGUUGUAGAAUCGUUUGACUUGGAAGAGACCCUUAAAGGCCAUCUAGUCCAACUCCCCUGCAAUGAACAGGGACACCUACAGCUAGAGGAGGUGCUCAGAGCCCCAUCCAGCCUGACCUUGAAUGUCUCCAGGGAUGGGACAUCUACCACAUCUCUGGGCAACCUGUUCCAGUGCUUCAACAUCCUUACUGUAACAUAUUUCUUCCUUAUAUCCAAAUCCAAAUCUCCCCUCUUUUAGUCUGAAACCAUUUCCCCUUGUCCUAUCACAACAGACCUUCUUAUAGAGUUUGUCCCCUUCUUUCUUAUAACCUCUCCUGAGGUCACAAAACCUCUGAACCUUUCUUCAUAAAAAGUGGUUCAUAAAAGCACUGAAACCUUUCUUCAUCUCACCUAGCCAAGCUCCAAGACACUUCUCCUUUUUUUUUUUUAAAUGUUAGAGUUUCUUUUUGAGUAAAUCAGAUUCUGUUACUGUCUUACUACACAGAUGCAUGGACAUCAAUACAGGCAGUAGAGAGGAAGUCAGUGGAAGCAUUUUUAAAAAAGAAAAUAUAUAUUAAAAAAAAAAACAAAAAAAUGUUGACUUACAUUGAUUUAAAGUGAUUUAAAGAUUUAAAGGCUCAGUGUAAAGCUCACAUAGAAUAGCAAAGUCCCAAUGACAGCAAGUAGCAGUGUGUAGGCUUAGCAAAUGACCCAUCAUAUCGUGAAAUAUUUCAGUUUGUUUUCUCUGAGUUCAUAGAGCUUUGUCAAGAUAUAGCUACAGCAGAUGCCAUUAUAAAUAUCUGAGUUCAAGAUGUUACAAAGAUAAAGAACAUACUUCUCAGACCUUUUUCUUUUCAUAGACAUAUAUUUUUUUAAAACCAUCGUUCUCCAGUAGGACUGUCAUAAUUAGUUCUAAAGCCUGUGGAAAAAUAUAACUCAAUUUCACACAAAGAGUCAGGAUCAAGGCGUAAUCUGUGAGAUCUCUGGUCAUUUUAAAGCUUUCUCAUAAUACAGCCUCUUUCACACUGUUGAUGGAAGUCUUGGGACAAGAAGACAGUUGCUUCUGUCUUGUUCUUGGGUGUGAAAAUCAGUAGGAGAAUGUGAAAGGCUUAGAACAUACCAUCCCAGAGAACUGAGUCUCAGCUUGCAAAGGAGACUCCAGUUAGGCAAUGACAAAUUCCUUCCUCUCAUUAGAGACACGUUCCUCAGCAUCAGGGGCCUUCCCUGGAAUGUGGCUUUCAGCUCCAAGGUCAUUCUAAUGAUGGAAAAAGAACCCAAGAGAUCAUGACGGUCUAAAGCAAAAGCUUGUGAAGCAGCUUUCGCAGACUCUCCAAGCCACGUGUGAAGGAAUGAGCAGCAGCGUGCCUGGGGACACUGAGAAGCUGCAAGCUGUGUUCCUGCAGAGCAUGGAGAGGUCAUCUCCCGGGGCAAGGCAUGGAGAGGGUGAUAAGAAACCACCCACAUCACCUGCUGCUUCAAAAUCAGUGUCUGUGCAGAAGGAUGUUCUUCACAAAGAAAUAACAAAUUUUUGUGUCCCUUUCCAUAAAUGGUAAGGAUGCAUUAGGUGAUGGCAGAAAGCGAGGAAGUAGAUGUAGUUCCCAAACUCUGGGGCAUAAACACAACAAAGUAUAAAAGAAGGAGGAAAGAUACAGAGAGGGUAAAAAUAAACAUUUUGAUUCAUCUCAUCUUGUGAAUCACAAAUGACAGGCACAUGGAAACUCAAAGAACCACACUAGACCAGACAAUGCAUAAUUCAGAGCCACCAGGUACAUCAGAAACAAAAAACAGAGGUACAGAUAUGAGACAGGAUUAGUCUUGAAGUAGGACAUUGUUUCUAUAGAAGGAAGAUAAAAAUAAUGAAGGGUUCAUAGGAAGAUUUGCUGAAGAUACUGUUGGAAACUUAACUAAGAGGGCUGCUCCUAAAGUAAUACCUCCUAUUUUAUUAUGUUGGCCCAUGAUGUCAGAAGUGUCAGAAGUUGGUGGUAUGGAAGUAGAUGUUGAACCUUCCCACCAAUACUCUGUUACAUGUUUUUGCCAUGUGACAGAUGGCAGCACUCUGUGUUGGGGGCACUCUGACAGAAUGGUAUCUGACAUAGAAGUACAUAUGAAGCAAAGACAUGGAAUUGAAUUCCUCCAUGCAGAAAAAACAGCACCCACUGACAUUCAUCAGUGCUUGCUGAAUGUUUAUGGAGACCAAGCAGUGGACAUGAGAACAGGGAUGUGGUGGGUGGAGCAUUUCAGCAGUGGCAACAGUGAUGAGAAUGGCAAGCCACAUACCAGACUGCCAUUCACAUUUUUACCAGUGCGGCACACAGGCUCUUGUUCAUCACUGGUGAAAAUGCACAACUAAUGGUGGUGACUAUGUUGAAAAAUAGUAAUUUGUUGCUGACAAUUUGCUCUGUCAAAUAGUAUUAAUGUGCUCUUUGCAUCUGUUGUAUUUUCCAAGGAAAUAAAUAGGAAGCAUUAUUUUGGAACGGCCUACAUAGUUCUGACCUCUAUGCCAUGGAAGACAGUUCAGCUGUAUUUAGGAGAAAUAUAUUUUCUGAUUUGCACAUAAAGGCCUAAUCAAUUACAUAUUACUUGCAUAUAGCACUAACAUGUUUUGCUUUCCACUGUCACUGGCUGAACAGCAAAUCAGACAGCCUGAACUUCUGAUGGCAAAAUUCUGAAAUGUUCCUCUCAUCUUUUGGGAUAUUUUGGUCGUUAGGGGGAAAUAAGUUCCUAUAUUAGUAGAUCUCAAAGAAUCACAGAAUAAUUUGAGUUGGAAGGGACCCCAAAAGGUCACCUAGUCCAACUGCCCUGCAUUGAACAGGGUCACCUACAGCUAGAUCACAUUGCUUAGAUCCCCAUCCAGCCUGACCUUGAGGUUCUUCAGGGACAAAGCAUCCACCACCACCAAUGGGGCAACCCAUUCCAGUGAGUGAAGCAUUUUGUUGUUGAAAAUAAAAACACACAUUAUGUUACAUUAAAUGUGUGUAUAAGUAGAAAGUAUAAACUUAAACAAGUAUACAUUCAUUUAUAUAGAGUUACCUCAUUGGAGUCAGCACUCGUCUCAAACUGACAGCAAUGCCCUCUAAGA